rnacentral:tRNA from 1 species
GCGGAAGUAGCUCAGUUGAUAGAGCAUUAGCCUUCCAAGCUGAGGGUCGCGGGUUUGAGUCCCG